GACGAACGCUGGCGGCGUGCUUAACACAUGCAAGUCGAGCGGUAAGGCCCCUUCGGGGGUACACGAGCGGCGAACGGGUGAGUAACACGUGGGUGACCUGCCCUCAGCUCUGGGAUAAGCCUGGGAAACUGGGUCUAAUACCGGAUAUGACUCCAUGACGCAUGUCGUGGGGUGGAAAGCCUUGUGCGGCUGGGGGAUGGGGCCCGCGGCCUAUCAGCUUGUUGGUGGGGUGAUGGCCUACCAAGGCGACGACGGGUAGCCGGCCUGAGAGGGCGACCGGCCACACUGGGACUGAGACACGGCCCAGACUCCUACGGGAGGCAGCAGUGGGGAAUCUUGCGCAAUGGGCGAAAGCCUGACGCAGCGACG
rnacentral:rRNA from 1 species